rnacentral:rRNA from 1 species
GAUGAACGCUGGCGGCGUGCCUAAUACAUGCAAGUCGAGCGAAUGGAUUAAGAGCUUGCUCUUAUGAAGUUAGCGGCGGACGGGUGAGUAACACGAGGGUAACCUGCCCAUAAGACUGGGAUAACUCCGGGAAACCGGGGCUAAUACCGGAUACGACACCUUGGGGCAUCCCAGGGUGUGGAAAGAAUUUCGGUCAAGGAUGAGCUCGCGGCCUAUCAGCUAGUUGGUGAGGUAAUGGCUCACCAAGGCGACGACGGGUAGCCGGCCUGAGAGGGUGACCGGCCACACUGGAACUGAGACACGGUCCAGACUCCUACGGGAGGCAGCAGUGGGGAAUAUUGCACAAUGGACGAAAGUCUGACGGAGCAACGCCGCGUGAGUGAUGAAGGCUUUCGGGUCGUAAAACUCUGUUGUUAGGGAAGAACAAGUGCUAGUUGAAUAAGCUGGCACCUUGACGGUACCUAACCAGAAAGCCACGGCUAACUACGUGCCAGCCGCCGCGGUAA